rnacentral:rRNA from 1 species
UACGUAGGGGGCAAGCGUUAUCCGGAAUUAUUGGGCAUAAAGAGUACGUAGGUGGUUUCCUAAGCGAGGGGUUUAAGGCAAUGGCUUAACCAUUGUUCGCCCCCCGAACUGGGUAACUUGAGUGCUGGAGGGGAAAGCGGAAUUCCUAGUGUAGCGGUGAAAUGCGUAGAUAUUAGGAGGAACACCAGUGGCGAAGGCGGCUUUCUGGACAGUAACUGACACUGAGGUACGAAAGUGUGGGGAGCAAACAGGAUUAGAUACCCUGGUAGUCCCUGAGCGGGCUGGCAAGG